rnacentral:sRNA from 1 species
GGGAGGGGGUGACUAGUGACAGAGUGAGGGAGGGAAGGGGUGACUAGUGACAGAGUGAGGGAGGUGGUGAUUAGUGACAGAGGGAAGGAUGGGGUGACUAGUGACAGUCACUCUGUCACUAGUCACCCCCUCCCUCACUCUGUCACUGGGUCACCCCCUUCCUCACUCUUUCACUGUGUCACCCCCUUCCUCACUCUCACUAGUCACCCACUCCCUCCCUUACUCUGUCACUAGUCACCCCCUCUCUC